CUUCUGAUGGCGACCGGCGCACGGGUGCGUAACGGGUAUGCAACCUACCUGUAACAGGGGGAUAACACUGAGAAAUCGGUACUAAUACCGCAUAACACUAUGAGAGGCAUCUCUUGUGGUUGAAAGUUUCGGCGGUUACAGAUGGGCAUGCGUUGUAUUAGCUGGUUGGUAAGGUAACGGCUUACCAAGGCGACGAUACAUAGGGGGACUGAGAGGUUAACCCCCCACAUUGGUACUGAGACACGGACCAAACUCCUACGGGAGGCAGCAGUGGGGAAUAUUGGUCAAUGGACGGAAGUCUGAACCAGCCAUGCCGCGUGCAGGAAGACGGCUCUAUGAGUUGUAAACUGCUUUUGUACAAGGGUAAACCUGAAUACGUGUAUUCAGCUGAAAGUACUGUACGAAUAAGGAUCGGCUAACUCCGUGCCAGCAGCCGCGGUAAUACGGAGGAUCCAAGCGUUAUCCGGAUUUAUUGGGUUUAAAGGGUGCGUAGGCGGAUUGAUAAGUUAGAGGUGAAAUGUCCGAGCUUAACUCGGGAACUGCCUCUAAUACUGUUGAUCUAGAGAGUAGAUGCGGUAGGCGGAAUGUAUGGUGUAGCGGUGAAAUGCUUAGAGAUCAUACAGAACACCGAUUGCGAAGGCAGCUUACCAAUCUAUAUCUGACGUUGAGGCACGAAAGCGUGGGGAGCAAACAGGAUUAGAUACCCUGGUAGUCCACGCAGUAAACGAUGAUAGCCCGUUGUCGGCGAUAC
rnacentral:rRNA from 1 species